rnacentral:lncRNA from 1 species
UGGGGUCCAUUGAGGGUUGCUCAACAUUUAUUUGGAAAGUUAUCCUAUUUCUGAAUUUUUAAACAACUCAAAUUAUCAUAUUUAAGUGUAUUUAACUACAUGCAUUUGUGUGAGCAAGGUGAAACAUGUAUCAAAUAUAAACUAGCAUUUUUCCUAGGGAAACAAUGGUAUCAGGAACUCAACAAAGGUGGUUUCACAUUUUUAUCUAUUUUCUUCCAUUUUUAGUGUUACUAACAAGAUCUAGCCUAGCAUUUCAAGGUUUGUCUUAAACCAGUGUGUUCA